GCGCGCUUGAGUCACCGCCCGGCCGGCUGGAUCCGGUUCCAGCCGAGCCGGGCCGGCCUGACAUGCGCAGUGCGUGGGCGCUGCAGCCGGGCGGGCCGCGGGCUCGCUGACUGCCCGGGACGCGGAGCUCAGACCUUUUGCAGGUCCUGAACAGCCCGCAGGGCCCAGAAGGCAGCGGGGCCCCUGGCAUGAGGAUUUAGAUCGAGUUGCCCUGUUCACUUUGUACCCAAAGGCUCGGCCGAGACGCCGCUGAGGGAGAAUACAGUCCAGAGACUGUUCGGUUGGAGCGGCACGAAACACAUUGGGAAGUCCGUGCAGAACUGUUGGUUUUUCCCUUGAGAGAAGCAGUGUCCGCGCGUCUUCCCACAGUCGUCCUGGGAGAGCCUGCGCCCUGUGCCUGCUCCCCGAGCGCUGGGCCCACCCCAGCUGAGGUGGGGGGUAGAUGUUUUUGCCCUUGUGUAGUAUGCGUUCACACGUUAAGAAUCUGAUCUUUGUUAACGUGUGGCAAGGUCAGCACUGCCAAAUUAGGAACGAGUCUCUGCUGAUUUUUCGGAAGUUGUUGAGAAGUAUAUUUUUGGUGUAGUAAAUGUUAUUUCUAGAGUCAUUUACAAUUCCUACACUUAAUAUUCUGCCUGGCUCUGCCCGUUCUGGCCAUCAGCCUGCCAGAAUGGUGUUUCCAGAUUAAACACAACGUGCAGCCUUCAACUCCUGGCUAGUCCCACGUUUCCGGAAAUGAAAGGAAGGCAGAUUGAGAGUUUACUAGGAAGGCGGUGGGCGUGGCUGGGGGCCUGCUGUGAACACAGGGCAGGGCUGCACAUGUGACUUUUGCCUUCCAAUCCAGCACUCGUGCCUAGAAGCCACAGCGGUGACCUUCCACACGAGGCUGUUGACCAUUCCCAGUGCCCUUGGGCUCCACGCCUGCGCUGGCCCACUGGUAACGAGAGAAACGUUACUGAGUCCAGAUCAUGAGUUCCCUAAAACCAAAUGAGGGCCCAGUCGGGCAGUCCUACUCGGGAUGACGAAGCUCACACCAGGGGGAGUCAACCCAAGGCAGUGAGGGCUAGCAGCGGGGGGCGGGGGGGCCCUCAGGGCCCGGAGGUCCGGGAAGACCCAGUGGGGUCCUGCCUCAGCUGAGCGGUUAGCCUUGCCCUGUGUGGGGGGCGGUGUCCACGCCUUCUCUGGCCAUGAAGUGCUGGGGCUCCGCCAGCCUGGUGCCAGGGCCUGUGCCUCUCUGGUGGGAGGCUGGGCAAAGAGGGCCCCUUGCAGCCUCUUUGGGGACUCAGCCUGCUCUCAGAAGGCCCUAAGACUGUGAUGGUGCGGGCAAACCGCUCUGCCGUAAAUGCCCAGUUUGAAACGCUGACCCCUCCACUUGGGGGGGAGGCAGGGGAGGACCCGCUUACCAGCUUCUUUCUCUGUGGAGUCGACGUUCUUCUAAUGAAGAGCGUGGAGUCCUCCCUGUCGUGCCCCUCCUCCCCUGACCUCCCACCCCUGCUGCCACAGUUGGCCUUCUCCUGGUCACCAUCAGCAUUCCCUUGCCCCAUGGCCUUUCCUGUCCCUGCUGCCGGUGGCCCCGGGCUCAGACAGAACCACAGCUCAGCCUGUUAACAUGUCCCUCUGUCCCCACCUGAGGCUGCUGGGGAACAGGGUUGUGCUUCACUUCUGUCCCGAGGCGCCUGGCUUGCGCUUUGCCCUGGAUGGCUGCCCCAGAUGGUGCUCUGGGGGGGCAGUGCCAAGACUGACCACAUUCCACACUGAACCAAAACGGGCAGCAGGCCCUGCACCCUCCAGUGACGGUGCUGACUUACCCGUGCCUGGGCAGCGUCGUCCACCACACUUGCUGGGAGGGGCGGCUUGCUGGAGUCUGCCAUUCAGGACUGGCUGAUAAGGUAAAAGGAGGAAGGUGUCACCGGUGUCUGCCAGGUGGCCUUCCCCGUCGGUCACCAGUCCCUGUGGGCACCACCUGCACACCUCCUUCACACCUCCUUCCCUCUUGCACAGGAACGUGGAGAUUUGUCCACCCCAUCCCCCCCAAACCCUAGCCUAUCUGCUCCUCCUGUCCAUCCAUGUGUCUGCCUCCACUAGAGAGUGGGCCCUCCAAGGACAGGGCUGGACAUGCUGACUGGAUGGAUGGACAGACCAGCUGUGAAAUGGUAAAAGUGUCCUGAAUAGAAGGAUUGGCUUGUAGUAUCAGAGGACUUUGUUUCCAGAAACCUAAUGUGACCUUUGUAAAGAUGCCAUCUCAGGGCUGAAGGUUCUCUGUGUAGACACCGUGGCGUCAAACUGUGGGUGUGGGGCUGGGCAGAGGAGCUCUCCUCGCUGGCUCGGGACCACCCUGUCUCCCAAGGACCCAGUAAGCUGGUCCCAGGACAGCAUGGGAGAGUUGGGGCAUCCUGACACCCAUCUCAGGCUGAAGCUCUGUGGGGCUGGUCAUCACGGCUGGCUCCUGUACCCACAUCUGUAUACCUGUGUGUCUUAGGGCUUUGCAGUGCGUAUUGGUCUCUAACAAACACCCAUUUCUGUCCUGGGGUUAAGAGAAGCAGUAGGAAAAGCUGAGCCACCGGCGCUCAUGACCUGCACUGGUCUCCCGGCCCUGGGCUGUCUGGUGCACACGGCCUGCCCAGCACGAAGGUGCACUGUGCGGCAGGGGAGGUGGCCCCAUGGCCCUACGCCCAGAAGCUGAGACAGGGAGUCAGGUCCCACCAACAGCCCAGGGCCUGGGGUUUGAAGAAUGUCAGUGUGGAAGACCCCCCCACACACACACACACAGCAGUGGACAAAAGACUUCAUCCCUCCAAUUCCUCAUCUCUGAAAACAAGGUGAGCUCCGUUGCAAUCCUGGAGUCUGUUCUUUGACGUGUGUGCCGGCAUGUGUUUCUGGGAAGAGGGUCCAGCGGCUUCCAUCCUGUUCUCCGAGGCCAGGUGCAUUUAGAUGGGGAGGAACGGGUGGGGCAAGAGCCUGGCUGUUCCAGGGCUCCCAGGUGUGGGGUGGCAGACCUACAGGCUUGGGGAGCCGGGCUCGAGUUGGGGUUCAUUCUUAAUCCCGGCUCUCAAAUUCAGAGAGUUCGAGCCUGGAAUUUAAAGAAAUAGCUGCUUUCGCUGUCUCUGUUCACAUUUAGCAUUUCCUUCCGCUGCGAAUGUCUGCGGCAGACCACGGUGGCAUUGGCAGGACCCGUGGAGGGCACAGGUGCGUCCUGGCACGUGGCGGGUGGAGACCUCACCUGUGCUCGGCUGCGCGCUGGUCACGGUCUCAGCCCUGCGGCAGAUGCGUAGCGACGCGCAAGGUGGUGCCUGUUCUGGUAACGGCCUCUGUGCCCCUGCGUGUCCCGUGUAUCGCGUCUUGCGUUUGCAAGCCGCCUCGGGGGUCCCCAGGCCCCACCCCUGGCACGGGCGUCCGGAUCCAGGAGCUAUGCUCUGCGAGGAGCCCCAGCCGACCUGACAGCCGCUCUGGCCGCCGCUCUCCCUGUCCUCCAGGAGCUCACUUACAUCCGGCCGUGAGCUCCUCGAGGCCAGAGCCCGCGUCUGCCUCCGCUCAGCGCUGCCCGAGACCCCCACCGAGCGCAGGGCCCCGCAGCCCCCGUCUCCUGGCCGCUUCUGUGGUGCCUCAAAGCAGCAGCUUCGCCAGCGUCCGCGUGCAUGUUUUCUGAAGUUGCCGUUUCAACCCGGAUGCUGCAGACAGAUGAAACGGGGAAACUCUCCCAUUCGUGCGGUAGCGGAGGACUGACUGUACUCUGCGUGUUAGCUUGGGCAGGUAUCUUAGGGUGGUAAGGGGGACUUCGGGGAAAUCGGCCUGAGAAGGAUGUGACGGUUCAUCCCCGCACGUUUUAUCUCAUCGGCUCUAACGAGUCGGCUGGGUGUUGCUGUGAGUUUCUGGUGGCUGAAAAGGCCUGUUGGUCUUGGUUCUGCAAGCCGUGUCACUGAGGCUCCCGGGAAGGGGGCAUGCGGGGCGUCCAUAUUGCCUGUCACAGCUGCGUGCGCAUCUGCUUAUUUCAAAAUAAAACACUGCAUUGAAAAAUUA